GUGUGUGGGUGUGUGCGCGCAGUUUGUGGGAGCCAGGUUAUGGUCGCGAUUGGGACAACGUUGCUGUUGGGUACAGGCUGUCCUUCCCUCCAGUUUGUGUGUGCUCUAGAUCACCUGCAUAUUUGCUGUUUGCCGCUGAUGGAUAAAGCUGUGAGUAACUGAGCCCGUGGGUUUAGCGAUCUACUUCCGGUGCAUCUGCUCGUGAGCCCUUCGUCACUGGACUGCGGGGCCAACGCUCUUUAGACGGCGUUAAGACUGCACUGUUUGUUCUGCUGCUACUUUUAUGACUGUGACCAUUUGCAUUUGAUUAUUCUUUUCUGGCCUUGUUUGUUUUUUUUCACGCUCAGGCUGGUGGGUUAGGUGAAGAGCGGCUAGUCCGAGUCGUCAGUUAGAGCGAGCUAUACCGUUCACGGUGCGUGCUUAGCUCCACCGGCUGUUAUAUUGCCGCCAGCAGCGUGUUUGUUUUGUUUAUUUAUUUGGUUGUUUUUGUUGGACCGGCGCUCUUCCUAAAGACUGCGUGGAAGAAGCGGAUGAUAUCCCGUACUUGGGAAGAUUUUAGUUUUUAUUUUUGUUUUGUUUAAUGUUGAUUUGAGUCGUUUGGCUGAAAGAUCUUUUCAGCCUCAAGUUUUGUUUUGUUGCAUUCUCUGUGAUUUUAAUUUGAGCCUGUUGUCUUUAUUUGUAUUGGUUUUAUUUCUUUUUGGUUUUGUUCUCCUCCUUCACCUCUUGCUGCUUCAUGGCAUGUCUAGGUUCAUGAGCUUUUAGCCUGAACCUAGUUGAGUCUUGACAUCUCUCUGUUGGACCCUUGUGGCCAGUAAAUUGUCCAUUGUUCCCCUUUAGGGUUUGAACUUAUUCUAAUGCAAGUUGUUGGAUUGUACAAGUUGAACUAAUUGUGUUCUUAUUUUUCCCUUUUUUUUUUGUUUAUUUCAGGAGCUGAAGGCCCCAGUGAGGGAAGCUAGCUGUCUUGGCCCUGUGGUGGUGGUGUUUCUCUCAGAGUGUUUUGCUAUCUGAUAUCUGCUUCUCCCUCACUUAGAGUGGGUGUGGUGUGAGCGUGAGUGUGUUGAGUGGUGUGUCCUAGGAUACUCACUGUUCAGCUAGCUCCCUACUGGUAAGCCUCAGCUGCAAAGUUUCUUGUUUUUUUGUACUUCUUUUCAUUGUUUUGGUCCACAGUUUUCUACAUUUUAAUUAAUUA